ACGCUCGACACCUACGGGAGACAGCAGUGGGGGAUAUUGCGCAAUGGGGGAAACCCUGAUGCAGCGACGCCGCGUGAGCGAAGAAGUAUUUCGGUAUGUAAAGCUCUAUCAGCAGGGAAGAAACUGACGGUACCUGACUAAGAAGCACCGGCUAAAUACGUGCCAACAGCCGCGGUAAUCUGAGCGGGCUGGCAAGGC
rnacentral:rRNA from 1 species